rnacentral:tRNA from 1 species
GCCGCUGUGGUGAAAUGGCAUACACGCAGGUUUUAGGAACCUGUGCCUUAAACGGCGUGGAGGUUCAACUCCUCUCAGCGGCACAA